rnacentral:rRNA from 1 species
AAUCAACGCUGGCGGCGUGCCUAACACAUGCAAGUCGAACGCGAGAGGGGCUUCGGCCCUGAUUGAGUGGCAAACGGGUGAGUAACGCGUGGGUGACCUACCUUCGAGUGGGGGAUAACGUUCCGAAAGGGACGCUAAUACCGCAUAACAUCCUGUCUUUGGACAGAUGGAGAUCAAAGCCGGGAGUCGUAAGACCUGGCGCUUGAGGAGGGGCCCGCGUCCGAUUAGCUAGUUGGGGGGUAAUGGCUCACCAAGGCAACGAUCGGUAGCCGGCCUGAGAGGGCGGACGGCCACACUGGGACUGA